rnacentral:rRNA from 1 species
AGAUUGAACGCUGGCGGCAUGCCUUACACAUGCAAGUCGAACGGCAGCGCGGGAGCAAUCCUGGCGGCGAGUGGCGAACGGGUGAGUAAUACAUCGGAACGUGCCCAAUCGUGGGGGAUAACGCAGCGAAAGCUGUGCUAAUACCGCAUACGAUC